rnacentral:rRNA from 1 species
UACGGAGGAUCCAAGCGUUAUCCGGAAUCAUUGGGCUUAAAGGGUCCGUAGGCGGCCCCGUAAGUCAGUGGUGAAAUCUCCCGGCUCAACCGGGAAAUUGCCAUUGAUACUGCAGGGCUUGAAUUAUUGGGAAGUAACUAGAAUAUGUAGUGUAGCGGUGAAAUGCUUAGAUAUUACAUGGAAUACCGAUUGCGAAGGCAGGUUACUAUCAAUACAUUGACGCUGAUGGACGAAAGCGUGGGUAGCGAACAGG